GAUGAACGCUGGCGGCGUGCUUAACACAUGCAAGUCGAACGGAAAGGCCCAAGCUUGCUUGGGUACUCGAGUGGCGAACGGGUGAGUAACACGUGGGUGAUCUGCCCUGCACUUCGGGAUAAGCCUGGGAAACUGGGUCUAAUACCGGAUAGGACGAUGGUUUGGAUGCCAUUGUGGAAAGUUUUUUCGGUGUGGGAUGAGCUCGCGGCCUAUCAGCUUGUUGGUGGGGUAAUGGCCUACCAAGGCGUCGACGGGUAGCCGGCCUGAGAGGGUGUACGGCCACAUUGGGACUGAGAUACGGCCCAGACUCCUACGGGAGGCAGCAGUGGGGAAUAUUGGACAAUGGGCGCAAGCCUGAUGCAGCGACGCCGCGUGGGGGAUGACGGCCUUCGGGUUGUAAACUCCUUUCGCUAGGGACGAAGCGUUUUGUGACGGUACCUGGAGAAGAAGCACCGGCUAACUACGUG
rnacentral:rRNA from 1 species